rnacentral:rRNA from 1 species
UUGACCGUACUAAGGUAGCAUAAUAAUUUGCCUUUUAAUUGGAGGCUAGUAUGAAUGGCUUGACGUGAAAUAUACUGUCUCAACUAUAUUUAGUAGAAUUUAACUUUUAGGUGAAGAGGCCUAAAUUUUGUGGGAAGACAAGAAGACCCUAUUGAGCUUUAAAUAUUUAUGUUAGUGGGAGCCUAAGAUUUAUAUGAUGGUCAUUACUUCUAAGUAUGUUGGUUGGGGCGACCGAGGAGUAUAAAGUAACCUCCUUGUAAUGUAAAGAAUUUGUUAUCAACGAACCUGUAAUAUAGGUUAUUCGGUAGUUACCAUAGGGAUAACAGCGUAAUUCUUUUGAAGAGUUCAUAUCGAAGAAAGAGAUUGCGACCUCGAUGUUGGAUUAAGGUGUCCUAAGGG